UGAGGAAUUUUGCGCAAUGGGGGAAACCCUGACGCAGCAACGCCGCGUGAGUGAAGAAGGCCUUCGGGUCGUAAAGCUCUGUCGAGCGGGAAGAAAUGCAUGGUGGCUAAUAUCCAUCAUGCUUGACGGUACCGCUAAAGGAAGCACCGGCUAACUCCGUGCCAGCAGCCGCGGUAAUACGGGGGGUGCGAGCGUUGUUCGGAAUUAUUGGGCGUAAAGAGCGUGUAGGCGGCUGAAUAAGUCAGAUGUGAAAUCCCUGGGCUUAACCCAGGACGUGCAUUUGAAACUAUUCGGCUAGAGUAGGGGAGAGGAAAGUGGAAUUCCUGGUGUAGAGGUGAAAUUCGUAGAUAUCAGGAGGAACACCGGUGGCGAAGGCGACUUUCUGGCCCUAUACUGACGCUGAGACGCGAGAGCGUGGGUAGCAAACA
rnacentral:rRNA from 1 species